AUUGAGACUGCUGUUUGUACAGCAAAAAGGUUGUGGAAUAAGAAUGAGCUACUAAGAAACAGGAAACUCUUGAAACCACCCGGUCCCAGCACUGCCUGUGUGGCUACCUGCCCGUGGGUCAGUGGCCCCCCUCCAGCGAUGGAUCCAGAAGCAAGCCCAAGCAGCUACCUAGUUCUCUUGGACUGGGGGCUGUCUCUGGUACUCUCUCUACUGGCAGGAUGCUGCCAACCCAAUGUGCAUGGGUUUAAUUGCAAUGGAGUAAUAGUCCUGGGGAGAUGUCCCUUAACUGUAGCCCUAUCACAAGGUAUCUGCCUGUAGCCCCAUGGUGGAUGUCUGUCUGCAGCCCCAUUGCAGGGUGUCUGGAUUGAUGAGUAUCCUAGGCACUGCCAACGCUGACUUCCUUCUCCUGACUGGUUCUGUAGCCCUGUGGUGGGGUGUCUGUAGCCCCAUUGUGGGGCAUCUGUUUGUGGCUCCACCAUGGGGUCUCUGUGUCUGUAGCCCCACUGAGGGGUGUCUGUUCAGCUCCUGUGAGGGUCUCAGUUGGCUCUUUCUAACUAGUAGGAAGAGUCCUGGUUCGGGAGACUUCUCCUCAAUCAGGAAGAUUUCAAGGAGGUUUCUCAGAUGGAGAAUAGGAGGACAGUUUGGAAGGGAUACUCUCGGAGUUCUUGGUUAGGGAUCUGAUUUGGAAGGCCUUCUGUCCAUCUCAUCUUUGUGUGUGUUUGUACAUGUGAAAGGGAUCUCAGAAGGGGUUGCUGAUGGAAGUCCAGCAGGCCCAACUCAGAGAACCCUCCUUAUUUGUCUGGUCACAUUCAAUGAGCCCUAAAGGAGGCUCAACAAGGUGACUAUCUCUUCUUUGCCUUGCCCAGAGACCCCAACUGUGAAUUACCAUUCGGAGGUCGUCCCUCCCCACCUAGAGUGGAUCAAAGACAACAGGGACCAACGGGAAGAAGUUUGAGCUUUGCUAGGUUGAUUAUGGGUGCUGAACGAGUGGCUUGAAACCCACAUCUAUAGCACAAGCAAGCAGGGGCAUCAGAAGCCACUCCGUUCUUCUGGAAGCUGCAGAGAAAGGGAACCCGGAAACCUGAUAUGCCAGCAAAAAGGGACAAGAACCCGGAACUUGCUGAACCACAGGAGCUAAAGGGCUGUAAUGCUCUUGCUCACCUAGCUAUGGGUGGCAGGAGUAAAAGAGCUGUAACAUUCCCUCCCACUCACUGAGCUAUGGAAGUGAAGAGGCCGCUGGAUGCCACUCCUUUCUGCUCACUGAGCUACAGAAGUGAAGAGGCCACUGGGUGCCACUCCCUCCUGCUUGCUGAACUACAGGAGUGAAAAAUCUGAUGGCCUAAACAACACACAUUUAUUAUCUUACAGCUGUGGAGAUCAGAAGUGUGGAGUCCUGAGAAGGUACUCACCAAACUGUAGCUAUGAAUUAAACUUCAAACAACUGGCGUCAGCCUUCCUGCAAACCCUGGAGCAUCGUCAAAGAAACGCUACUCUAGUUCCCUCAUCCAAGAGUAAAAACAGAGAGGCAAGACAAGAUAGAAGGUCUUUAUUCAAUAGCAGAUGAGAGACUAUGCCUCAGUCCUCUGAGGGGAUGCAUUUCCCCCACAUACCAUUCCUUUCCCACG
rnacentral:lncRNA from 1 species